rnacentral:rRNA from 1 species
AACGAACGCUGGCGGCAGGCCUAACACAUGCAAGUCGAGCGAGGACUUCGGUUCUAGCGGCGGACGGGUGAGUAACGCGUGGGAAUGUGCCCUUCUCUACGGAAUAGCCCUGGGAAACUGGGAGUAAUACCGUAUACGCCCUAUUGGGGAAAGAUUUAUCGGAGAAGGAUCAGCCCGCGUUGGAUUAGGUAGUUGGUGGGGUAAUGGCCUACCAAGCCGACGAUCCAUAGCUGGUUAGAGAGGAUGAUCAGCCACUCUGGAACUGCGACACGGCCCAUACUGCUGCAGGAUGCAGCAGUGUGUGGUCUUAGACAAUGGGCGCGAUCCUAAACGAACCAUUGCGCGUGAGUGAUGGAGGUCGUUGAGAUGUAUAGCUCUUUCGGCUAGGAGGAUAAUGACGGUACCAGCAGAAGAUACCCCGACUAACUCCGGG